AAACGUCCCACUACCAGUGCAACGAACACACUCAGGCAGAAACAGCGACUUCAGGAGCCACCACUAGCUCUGUUCACAGACAAAUAAAACCCCUGCUAACUCCAAGGGGAGCUAACAGAGCCCAGCUUGAGAUGCAGGACCUUUAUUUCAUGGGAAAAGGAAGCACAGCAUCAAGCAAUUGAGAGGAUUUUAAAUCAGAAUACGGACAUUUCCCAAAGUACACGUACAGCCUUCCAAGUCUCCUAAUGACACAGCAUAAAGCUGCACAGUUGCAUCUUUCCCUGCUAAGGAGAGCUUCACAACACCUUUCACAUAUACGUUUGAGGCGAGGAGCUGUUCCAAUACACUUUAAGA